rnacentral:lncRNA from 1 species
AAUAUCAAUUGAAAUGCACUUUUUCAGGACAAUGUUUGUGAUGCUUCUUAAUUAUAGAUUUCCAAUUAGGAAUAUAAAACCAAAACAUUUAUAUAUAGUCAGAGAUCAGAUCAGGUUAUUCCUACAGUAAAAAAAUCACCUACUGCUGCUAACUCUUCUAUAAUUAAUUCAUUUCUGCUAAUGCCAAAUCAACUAAGAGAAUUUAUGAAAAUGAAAAUAUAAAACAUAGGAUAAGGUUAACAAACCAGCAAGAGAAUUGUAAUGUGUCAACCUUGUAAGCUGACAUUGAGAAUAGAAACCAAAACGAAAACCAUGAAUGAGAAAAAACGACAGUAAAGUUGAACCAGAUUGGUGGUUGAACCCACCUCGUAAGCGAAAUCUAGCAGAGCGGAGGCGAAUCCAAGCGGAACUGUGUGCUAUGUGUGACUGAUGAUGUGAAGAAGAGACGAAACCCUAGGCGUCCAACAAAGGGCAAAAUGUAGCAGCGAGUGGAGAAGAGUGAAGAAGAGCGGAGGUGAACCCUAGGCGUUGACGGAACUGUGCACCGGAACUGUGUGCUAUGUGUGAGUUAGUGAACAGACGAAGAGCUAGUGAUGAUGGGACGAAAAACAGAGAAGGUAGUGUUCUAAAUGAAAUUGCUACUGAGAGGGUCGAAGAAGGGAGAAGGAGUGUGGCAGGGAAAUGAAAGAGAUAUUUAAUCGUAGUUUUAAAUCUACGUCAUAACAAAUUAGAGAUAGGUUUAAAUUAGUUACAAGUUUGCCACCGCAUUUCAUAUUAUAACUGAUUUACAAAACUACGUUAUAAUAUGUCUUAAACUUAUUUACGAAUUUGCCACCGCAUCUCUAUUAUAACGGAUUUACAAAACUACGUUAUAAUAUAUGCGUUAUAAAAAGUCCAUUUUCCACUAGUGCACUAAGCAACCUCCUUGUAAAGGACGUUCCUUUUGUGAUGCAUGAAGAGUGCCUUAAAGCUUUUGAUAUCUUGAAGAAAAAAUUAAAUUCUGCCCCUGUAAUUGUAGCUCCU